CAGUAGCCGCGGUAAUACAGAGGGUGCGAGCGUUAAUCGGAUUUACUGGGCGUAAAGCGUGCGUAGGCGGCUUCUUAAGUCGGAUGUGAAAUCCCUGAGCUUAACUUAGGAAUUGCAUUCGAUACUGGGAAGCUAGAGUAUUGGAGAGGAUGGUAGAAUUCCAGGUGUAGCGGUGAAAUGCGUAGAGAUCUGGAGGAAUACCGAUGGCGAAGGCAGCCAUCUGGCCUAAUACUGACGCUGAGGUACGAAAGCAUGGGGAGCAAACAGGAUUAGAUACCCCAGUAGUCCCUGUCUCUUAUAC
rnacentral:rRNA from 1 species